GUAGGAGUAAUUAACCAGGCCAUCUUGCGAGAGGGUGACCUCUCACCAAUUAAUCAAUGCAUUAAAACGCGUGUUAUUUUCCCAACCACCUUGCAUAUCUUUGCAGUAUACUCAUGCGACUUCGUGUGCGUCGAGAACUACUAACAGCAGUGUUAAAAGUUGGGCGCACACCAUCUGUGAUCAAGGAAGCGGCAGCAGCCACCAACUGGAAAAAAAAAUUUGGAGUCAUGUCGCGUCAAAAUGUCUGAUGCAAAAUUUGUAAAACAAAAAUACCCGGUUCUAUUCAUUGCUUCUUCUUCUUCUUCACGAGAGAAAAAGAUCCUUAUUAAGCAGUUCUAGCAUUACAAAAGGACUCUUCAUAAAAAAACAAGAAAAAACAAUUAGGUUCUUGGAGAAUUUUCCGUCUUCUUCCACCGAUAGAGUCCAUUUUGGACUGUUGUUGCUGCUCUAGCGCUCCACUAUUGAAUUUAAUCUGACGUUUCUUGCCUUCGAAUGGAAAGUCACCAAGAUUAAGAGUGGGGGACCAAUGUCUCGGAGAAUAAGUCGUCGUCGGGGCAACAUGAAGCCGCUCGAUCCAUGCUUGCCGCUCCAAGCCGUCGGUC
rnacentral:lncRNA from 1 species